GAGAGAAAGAAAAAGAAGAAGGAAGAGGAGGCCCAGGAAGAGGAAGGUGGGGGAAAAAGAAACCAUCCUUACAGCUGCCACUUAGCCACUUGCACAUCACUCACUCAUUCUACCUCCAAAAGUUCAGCCUCUUGUUUAAUCUAUAAAAUCCACUUAAGCAGAAAUUAGAAAUUCCUAUUUUUUUCAAUUAUGGAGGCUUAAAUUUACAUUUAAUCCAAUCAUUACUCUGUACUUAAUUUUCUGAUGACAAACACAUUUGACCUGUUAAUAUAUAAACCCUUUCUGUUCCACCAUGUAGGGACAAAUGAGGACUAAGAAAAGAGGAGCUAUAUAAGCAACAGUCAUCUAAAAGUAAAGAAUAAAACUUCGGUUCUCAAAUAGCAAUAAACUGGCAAUGGAAUGAAAUGAAGAGGCUUUUAAUAAUCCUAAAUGUAUUUCUUAUAUCUUGUGAUUAUUGUGCCAAUAUCCGUAAUAACCCUGUAUCCAGAAGAGAAUUGUACCUGUGAAUGAAAUGCAUCCGUUCCAAGUAGACACAGCCUUUUGAAAUAUCUACACACAGGUCUACAAGGUCAACCAAGGAAAACAACUCAGAAAUGCGGGUUUGGCUACACAGUUUUCUCAAGACAUCAAACCAACUCCUAAGAUGUCCACUGCUGUUCCUUCAUACACUUCUCCAAAGGCUCCACUUCCCAGCAAGAGACGCAGAGUCAGUUUUUCCCGAGGG